UUAAAUACAACACAAACCCUAAUAAAAAAAUCAACAAGGUUUGUUUAUUGUUCUUCGUUACAGUUGACUUCUUGGGUUGUAUUGUGGCUGACAAGCUGUUUACCUUCGGUCUACUUUAAUUUUUUUCCCACGAUUUGGCUUUCUUAGAUGAAAAUCAGAUCAAUUCCGCUAUAGUGCCUGAAUUUUUUUGACAAAGGAGCUGCUCAGCUCUCACAAUGGAGGGG
rnacentral:lncRNA from 1 species